rnacentral:tRNA from 1 species
CAGGUAUAGUUCAUUGGUAGAAUGCGAGCUUCCCAAGCUUGAGAGGCGGGUUCGAUUCCCGUUACCUG